CCCCGGUAAACGGCGGCCGUAACUAUAACGGUCCUAAGGUAGCGAAAUUCCUUGUCGGGUAAGUUCCGACCUGCACGAAUGGCGUAAUGAUGGCCAGGCUGUCUCCACCCGAGACUCAGUGAAAUUGAACUCGCUGUGAAGAUGCAGUGUACCCGCGGCAAGACGGAAAGACCCCGUGAACCUUUACUAUAGCUUGACACUGAACAUUGAGCCUUGAUGUGUAGGAUAGGUGGGAGGCUUUGAAGUGUGGACGCCAGUCUGCAUGGAGCCGACCUUGAAAUACCACCCUUUAAUGUUUGAUGUUCUAACGUGGACCCGUAAUCCGGGUUGCGGACAGUGUCUGGUGGGUAGUUUGACUGGGGCGGUCUCCUCCUAAAGAGUAACGGAGGAGCACGAAGGUUGGCUAAUCCUGGUCGGACAUCAGGAGGUUAGUGCAAUGGCAUAAGCCAGCUUGACUGCGAGCGUGACGGCGCGAGCAGGUGCGAAAGCAGGUCAUAGUGAUCCGGUGGUUCUGAAUGGAAGGGCCAUCGCUCAACGGAUAAAAGGUACUCCGGGGAUAACAGGCUGA
rnacentral:rRNA from 1 species